GAUGAACGCUAGCGGCAGGCCUAAUACAUGCAAGCCGGACGGCAAGUUGAGUAGCAAUACUUGACCUAGAGUGGCGUAAGGGUGCGUAACACGUAUGCAAUCUGCCCACAGCCGGGAGAUAGCCCUCCGAAAGGAGGAUUAAUAUCCCAUAGGAAGAUGAGAUGGCAUCAUUUUAUUUUUAAACUACGGGGCUGUGGAUGAGCAUGCGGUUGAUUAGCUAGUUGGCGGGUAAAGGCCCACCAAGGCGAUGAUCAAUAGGGGACCUGAGAGGAAGAUCUGCCACACUGGGACUGAGACACGGCCCAGACUCCUACGGGAGGCAGCAGUUGGGAAUCUUGGACAAUGGGGGAAACCCUGAUCCAGCCAUGCCGCGUGAGUGAUGAAGGCCUUCGGGUUGUAAAACGUCUUUCGCGCACGACGAUAAUGACGGUAGUGCGAGAAGAAGCUCCGGCUAACUUCGUGCCAGCAGCCGCGGUAA
rnacentral:rRNA from 1 species